rnacentral:piRNA from 1 species
AGGAAAGAUAGCAAACCAUAGUCAGGCUGC